UACGAGUGCCUCAAGCGUUAUCCGGAAUCAUUGGGCGUAAAGGAUGUGUAGGUGGUUGUAUUAGUCUCUUGUUAAAUUCUUCGGCUUAACCGGGGGCAUGCAAGGGAAACGGUACGACUAGAGGAUGCGAGGGGUCUGUGGAACUCAUAGUGUAGCGGUGAAAUGCGUUGAUAUUAUGGGGAACACCAAAAGCGAAGGCAGCAGACUGGAGCACUCCUGACACUGAAACAUGAAAGCGUGGGUCGCGAAUGGG
rnacentral:rRNA from 1 species